GGGGGCGAUUGGUAUCGACCGGGCAGGUGAGGUAAAGGCUGCGCAUUGAGGUUGCCAGGCGGCCUCAUAAAAAACCUGGCACAAAAACAACUGCCAAUACUCAGUUGGCGCUGGCCGCGUAAGCGGUCAAGUCCCCCUGGUCUUUCCUGUGAGACCAGGUGUGGACUCCGGCAGCAGGAUAGUUUCCCUCUUUUAGGCGACGGGAGGGAGGCGAAACUUUAGUUCGCCUUAGCCGCCGCAGGAGCCUGUCUAUUGGCGCCUGCGGAUGGCGAAAUUAAAAAAUAGACUAUGUGCGUAGACGCCUUUACCGAAAUGCCACGGGACGCGGGUUCGAUUCCCGCCGCCUCCACUU
rnacentral:tmRNA from 1 species